UUUUAAUGAGAGUUUGAUCCUGGCUCAGGACGAACGCUGGCGGCGUGCCUAAUACAUGCAAGUAGAACGCUGAAGGAGGAGCUUGCUUCUCUGGAUGAGUUGCGAACGGGUGAGUAACGCGUAGGUAACCUGCCUGGUAGCGGGGGAUAACUAUUGGAAACGAUAGCUAAUACCGCAUAAGAGUGGAUGUUGCAUGACAUUUGCUUAAACGGUGCACUUGCAUCACUACCAGAGGGACCUGCGUUGUAUUAGCUAGUUUGUGGGGUAAGGGCACACCAGGGCGACGACACAUAGCCGACCUGAGAGGGUGAUCGGCCACACUGGGACUGAGACACGGCC
rnacentral:rRNA from 1 species